UAAUGUCUUACCUCUGUCAUAGAACACAAGACAGUGCUUGGUUCCAUAUCCUAGGAAAAUAGGGGGCCAGGACAUCACAGGUGCAGCCACAGAUCUGAGCAGGUGUGAGCCACCGCACCAGCCAGAUCUUUUCUUUUCUAAAAGGCAUAAAGCCCUGUGGGUGUUGUGAAGGGGUGGGUUGCCCCUCCACACCUGCGGGUGUUUCUCAUUAGGUGGAACGAGAGACUUGGAAAAGAAAAAGACACAGAGACAAAGUAUAGAGAAAGAAAUAAGGGGGCCCAGGGGACCAGCGUUCAGCAUAUGGAGGAUCCCGCCAGCCUCUGAGUUCCCUUAGUAUUUAUUGAUCAUUCUUGAGUGCUUCUUCGAGAGGGGGAUGUGUCAGGGUCACAAGACAUAGGGGGGAGAGGGUCAGCAGACAAACACAUGAACAAAGGUCUUUGCAUCAUAGACAAGGUAAAGAAUCAAGUGCUGUGCUUUUAGAUAUGCAUACACAUAAACAUCUCAAUGCUUUACAAAGCAUUAUUGCUGCCCACAUGUCCCACCUCCAGCCCUAAGGCGGUUUUUCCCUAUCGCAGUAGAUGUAACGUACAAUCGGGUUUUAUACCGAGACAUUCCAUUGCCCAGGGACGGGCAGGAGACAGAUGCCUUCCUCUUGUCUCAACUGCAAGAGGCAUGCCUUCCUCUUAUACUAAACCUCAGCACAGACCCUUUACGGGUGUCGGGCUGGGGGACGGUCAGGUCUUUCCCUUCCCACGAGGCCAUAUUUCAGA
rnacentral:lncRNA from 10 species